GAAAUUGUGCGCGGAGGGAGUGCGAUGGGUCCACGCUGGGUGCACUCCCGUCAGCCCAGUGGAAGCUGGAAUGAAGCAGACGCCUGGCCCUCCUUCCUGUAAAGACGGGUGCUGCCUUCUUGCCUGGAAGCAGGACACUGGCUUCUCUCACAACCAAUCCAGAGGUAACCAUUGCAGGCUGGGCAAGGCUGGUAAAGGACAGAGAAGGGGAUAAGGACAAAAGUACCACUUAAUGCUUAAAAAACACACUACCACUCAGAAUGCACACUGCUGCAAAGUGAUAGCUGAGUCCUUCCAAAGGCAUUGCUCUUGCUGCAAGGAGUCAUCUCACCUGAGGUGUAUGUUCCUUCCUGGGGACUGAGAAAUUAGAUGUCCAUUUCCAGCAAGGCAGAGGAGGUCCAGGAGUACUGUUGCGGAUCACCGGACCCCAGAAACCCAGCCCUAGAGACCCCUGUAAGAUGGGCACAGGCAGCGGCUACAGCUGCAUAGCAGACCAGCUUCUCCCUGUGCCCUCCUCUGACCUCCCCCUCAUUACAUUUAUUUUUCUCCAAAAAAUCUCCAUUUCAGAACCUGCUUCAUGGGGGCCUUGCCAAUACUUCCUCAAAGCCUAGAGCUUGCUGAUCACUUUUCAUGUAUUGUUUUCCCAAUUUGUGUCAAGAAGUAGACGUUGCUUAGGGGCAGAUUCUAUCAUGUGCAUCUGAGAGAUGAAAAGGAUGAGACAAGAAUAUCACAGGAAACUAAUGUCAGGGCCACACUUCCAAGUGGAGCCCACAACUCUAACCACAGUCUGCGUGUUGUAGAAGCUGUCCACUCUGUCCUUCCCUCCCUUCUCAGGGUUUCCUUUAGAGUUCUGAAAUCUGUGGGACACAAAAAACAAUUGUGAUUCACAAAGAAUUUUUAUGGUAUAAAUUAACUAUACAAACUUGAAAAAUAGAAGGAAAUCUUCAUUAGUAGUCUUAGAAUUGU